UACGGGGGGAGCAAGCGUUGUUCGGAUUUACUGGGCGUAAAGGGCGCGUAGGCGGCCACCGCAAGUCAGUUGUGAAAUCUCUGGGCUUAACCCAGAAAGGUCAACUGAUACUGCGGGGCUAGAGUGCAGAAGGGGCAACUGGAAUUCUCGGUGUAGCGGUGAAAUGCGUAGAUAUCGAGAGGAACACCUGCGGCGAAGGCGGGUUGCUGGGCUGACACUGACGCUGAAGCGCGAAAGCCAGGGGAGCGAACGGG
rnacentral:rRNA from 1 species